UCAAGUGGUCAGGAGGAUUAUUGGGCCUAAAGCAUCCGUAGCCGGCUUUGUUAGUUUUCGGUUAAAUCUAUAUGCUCAACAUAUAGGCUGCCGGAAAUACUGUAAAGCUAGGGAGUGGGAGAGGUAGACGGUACUCCGUAGGAAGGGGUAAAAUCCUUUGAUCUAUGGAUGACCACCUGUGGCGAAGGCGGUCUACCAGAACACGUCCGACGGUGAGGGAUGAAAGCUGGGGGAGCAAACCGGAUUAGAUACCCGGGUAGUCCCAGCUGUAAACUAUGCAAACUCAGUGAUGCAUUGGCUUGUGGCCAGUGCAGUGCCGCAGGGAAGCCGUUAAGUUUGCCGCCUGGGAAGUACGUACGCAAGUAUGAAACUUAAAGGAAUUGGC
rnacentral:rRNA from 1 species